UUUGUACUCCCUCCGUCCGGAAAUACUCGUCGGAGAAAUGGAUGUAUCUAGAUGUAUUUUAGUUUUAGAUGCAUCCAUUUUUAUGUAUUUCUUCGACAAGUAUUUCCGGACGGAGGGAGUAGCAU
rnacentral:pre_miRNA from 1 species